GGGAGGGCUUCAAACCCAUUGGGGCCUAGCGGCCCAGAUGUUCGAUUCAUCC
rnacentral:tRNA from 18 species